AGUGAACGCUGGCGGUAGGCCUAUCACAUGCAAGUCGAACGGCAGCACAGUAAGAGCUUGCUCUUACGGGUGGCGAGUGGCGGACGGGUGAGGAAUACAUCGGAAUCUACUUUUUCGUGGGGGAUAACGUAGGGAAACUUACGCUAAUACCGCAUACGACCAACGGGUGAAAGCAGGGGAUCUUCGGACCUUGCGCGAUUGAAUGAGCCGAUGUCGGAUUAGCUAGUUGGCGGGGUAAAGGCCCACCAAGGCGACGAUCCGUAGCUGGUCUGAGAGGAUGAUCAGCCACACUGGAACUGAGACACGGUCCAGACUCCUACGGGAGGCAGCAGUGGGGAAUAUUGGACAAUGGGCGCAAGCCUGAUCCAGCCAUACCGCGUGGGUGAAGAAGGCCUUCGGGUUGUAAAGCCCUUUUGUUGGGAAAGAAAAGCAGCAGGUUAAUACCCCGCUGUUCUGACGGUACCCAAAGAAUAAGCACCGGCUAACUUCGUG
rnacentral:rRNA from 1 species